rnacentral:tRNA from 1 species
GGGCCUGUAGUGUAGUGGUAUCACACGAGGCUGGCAGUCUUGAGAUCCGAGUUCGAUUCUCGGCAGGUCCA